rnacentral:lncRNA from 1 species
AGAAAACAAAUCUUUCUGUAUCACUGUCUGACUUCUGAAAGAUGAGAAAAAUAAAUUAAUUUCCCUGUGUGCUUGGGAUUCACUGCCUUUCCUCCUGAUGAAAUUCACAGGAUACAGAUUUCCCUCCAGUGACGUAAGGAGAAUCUUUCUGAUCUUUCUGUGUGCUCCAGCCAGACUACAUCACUUUAAUUUUUAUUUUGGGUGGGGGGCUUUUGCAAACCUGCCAGAAGUUUUGCCCAGUAACUGCAACUGGUUAAUUGCCAUAAGCAUGGGAAGAUCUCAAGAGAAAAGAUGAGGUAAACGCUUUUCUACCCUCAGCGGCACCAUGGCUCUUCCUUUGGUCUAAACGUCUCUCCACCUUACACUGCCAUCAUCUGACAGAGGAUCUAGAGAGAAUAAAAACACUGCUAAACGAAAAGUUGUUUAUGUGACAAGAGAAAGAAAACGGCCUCAGAGGAACAUUAGCGCUUUCUGAUGCUGCCACUGCAAGACACCAUAGGACAGUGUGCACAGCACAGUGCAGGGCAAUAAGAACCAGAAAAUGUUGGGCAAGAAGGAACCUCUUGACAGUGUAUGUACAUUUUAAUAUUUGUUGGAGGAGGGGAAGGAUUCAGAAACUAUUUCCUUCAGCUGGUGCUGUAUUUCUUACAAAACAAAACCCCCACAAACUCAGUAAGAAAGCAGCAUGUCAGAAAACCUAAGCCAUCAAGUAGUUGUUAAGUCAUUUAACAUCUUUAAAAUAUUUUUCCCCUCCAGGUCACAUAAUACAAAGAGAUACCACCCUCCAACCCUACCAUGGAUUCUUUUACUGUAAAAUAAACUUGGAUUUGUGUCUAACAAUCAAUCUUGGAAAUUAAAGUCCAUAUACAUGCGAGAGAGGACUGUACACCUCCCCAUCAAUAUGCCAUACAACGGAAAGGAAAAGCCAUGCUGUGGGGAUGAUUUUCAAUACACGUUGAAGGCUUCCAGCACUUCUUACAACCAGUUAUCGUACCAUACAUAUCCAUCAUACCCUUAUGCAAGGUACCACUCAGCCUCGCUGCAUCCGUCAAAGGGAUCUUUGUUGCAAAAUUCAGAUCUUAUUAAUUCCUGCACAGCACAAGAAGACAUGGAUAUCUCUUUUCAGUGGAGAUAUAAUUAAAAGACACAUAAUUACUGUUAGAAAAUAUUUCAAGGAAACAUUAGUGUUUCAGUAGGUGAUGUUUGUUUAUAGGUAAUAUUCUGAGCAGUCUUCUAGGCUCCCCUAAGAUUAAAUCAAAACAGUUCACCAGUAAAAAGAUGCCUCCAUUUUUCAGCUGAGCAUCUGAUAUCUUUGCAAUUUCACACAACACUGAAAAAUUUUUUGUUAAUGCUUUAAACCUAAUUAUAGGUUUGAAUAUAGUUUCUAUGCAUUGAGGUCAGUACAAACCUGAUAAAAUCCUCACUAAAGGGAAGAACAUCUGAUUAAGUCAUAUUGAACUCACUUAUUAGAUGAACGGGAGGCAUUGCAAAGUGUUCACUCAGAAAGAAAUAUUUUAUUUCUGUAGAUUUUCUUGUGGAAAGUUUUUUGCUCUUACAUCUUUAUCAACAAACCUCUCUGGAUAUGCUAGAACAGCUCUUUGAGUGGAAACACAUUUUCUAGAAUGAGUUACUUUUUCAUUUAUUCCAACAGAAAAAGAACUAUCUUCUUCUAGAAUAUAAGGAUUAACAUGAACAGCCACAGCUGCCAAAAUUCAUACCUACUCUAACACCAGUAUUAUUCCAAAUGGAGAAGUACUACAUUUCUUUCCUAAUGCAUUUCUUUUGUAACACUUGGAGGAGACAGUUGAUAAAGAGCAAGCUUGGCAACCUACAGUUGUGUGGUACCUUUUGCAGGAAUACAUCCACUAGCCCCAGCAUCACGGCUACACUGUUUGCACAAUAACUUUCUGCCUAUCCCAAUUCCUAUUUCAAUUACAACUGUAUGAGAGAGAUUCUUAGUGUUUUCUCUACUGUUAAACAGCUGCUGCAUUUCAGUGUUGGUGAAAUAGUUUUCAGUUUUUUUAAUGAAAGUGCUUUGGGAUGUCUCUAGCUGAAAGAUGGCAUAGAAAUGCAAAUUAUACUUAGUCAUAUAACUCGGAAUUACCUUUGCAUUUUAUUUUUGACCUGUAUCUGUUUAUAAAGCAAUCCUGAAAAACAGUUACAUUAUCCCUUACAUUAUUGGGAAAACAAGAGAUAGGACUGCCAGCUCUUACAUGAAUGUUGUAAUCCAAUGAACGUUCACGCUGAAAAGUAUCUCCUUUAGUGAAUUUUUUGACAAAACAAUCUAAUUUCAUUUAUAAACUUAGAUAAUAAACCCCAACAUAUUCAUAUCGAAAGCA